rnacentral:lncRNA from 1 species
AUGUAUAUAUUUCGAUAUCUAACGCAACCAUAACAUUCAAAUUUACUUUUUACUUCAAUUCCCUAUACAUGCCAUAUAAAUCCAAAAAGUUGCUUAACAUAAACUACCGGAGUAUAUCUGGAUAGUGUGAUUCUUGAUGUAGAUCCGAUCCUCCGAAUGUAUAAAUACGUUAAUCUACAAAAACAAUAAACACACACAUGUAAGCUUAUAGAAAAGCUUAGUAAGUUCAUAGGCAUAAAACAUAAAUCUUACCAAACACUUGUACACUUAUACAAUAUACACCAUUACUAAAUUUACCUGUCAACCACAAUCUUUGGUGAGUUCCUUGGUAUAAACUCACUACUACUUAUUCUUUUACCAUAAUUCCUUUGGGCCCAUUUGUCACUUACCAUCCUUGAUCAAAAUGAAGGAACGGUUACGGAAAAUUGAGUACUUCAUUUUCACUUUGACAUAUGACCUCUUAUCACUUGUCCUUGAUCAGAUAAGUGUAGCUAGGCUACCACUUAUCACUUUGCCACUUGAUCAGAUAAGUGUAGCUGAAGCUACCACUUAUCACUUUAUCACUUGAUCAGAUAAGUGUAUCCACUUAUCACUUUGUCUCUUGAUCAGAUAAGUGUAACCACUUAUCACUUUGUUUCUUGAUUAGAUAAGUGUAACCACUUAUCACUUUGUUUCUUGAUCAGAUAAGUGUAGCCACUUAUCACUUUGUCACUUGAUCAGAUAAGUGUAGCUAAAACUACCACUUAUCACUUUGUCACUUGAUCAGAAGUACUCAAAUCUGGCGUUCCACUUAAUUUGAUCAUUUAUUCGAUUUUCACAUUUUUAUUUUAUUCUCAUUUCAACAAUAAAUACAUUUCAUCAUACAUUGUAUAAUUCAUGAAAUUAACAUUUAAUCAUUAAAUUUCAGCCAUAUGAACUUACCUGGAUCGAUUUGCAGAAUUUGUAAAAGUUCAGGGACUAAUCGGCUACUUUUUCUUUUCCUCGACUU